rnacentral:lncRNA from 1 species
GUGGUCUAUCAGAGGACCAUCAGACUGAGGCGCGUGCACGGGGCGACACCAUGUUUUUAUUUUCUCUCUCUUUGUACUAAAACACGAUUUCCCGGUCGGAAUAUUAUCGAUUUUUUACGAGAAAAAUGGCAUAAAAAUUGAUUUUAAACAGCGGUUGACAUGCUUCGAAGUACGGUAAUGGAAUAUUUAGAUUUUUUUUUGUCACGAAUUGCGCCAUGCUCGUGACCCUUAUUUACACUUCGGAUAGUGUCUUGAACGCACGAACAAAACGCAGCUGUUUGGUUAUAACAAUGGAUUAUUUUGGACCAAACCAACAUUUGUUAUUGAAGUAGCAGUCCUGGGAGUGCAUUCUGACGAAGAAAAUCAAAGGCUAAAGAAGUGUAACGAUCGUCUGACAGAGGGGACCAAGAUGCAGCGUGGAAUCUACAUCUGAAGGCCUGGUAUAAGCAAAACAUCUCUCCAACUACAGACGCCAGUGUCUCAGGACCGUAUUUUUAAACAGGUCAAAGGAUGUGCCAUGGGAGCUUGCUACAGCCCUUCCUACGCUGGUUUGUACUUGGAUUGGAAUGUCCACAGUGCAAGGUGUUCUACAUUGGACGGACAAAGAGACGCCUUCAAGAUCGCCUAGCGGAACACAAGUACGCCAUACGGGUAGGCAAUGAAGACUACCCCAUGGCAAGGCACUGCAAGUCCUUAAACCAUGGUAACCCUGCCUCCCUACAAGCUAUGGGUAUUGAUCAUAUCCCGGCCUUUAUUAGAAAAGGGGACCGUCUUAAACAGUUAAACCAAAUGGAAAGUUUUUGGAUUUACAAACUACAGGCCACUAAAUACCCAGGUUUAAAUGAAGAUAUGGAUUUCUCAUCCUUCCUGUAGGGUUGUGAUGGGUACAUUUGCUGUCAUCUAGUGGGUAUUUUGCUCAAUUGCCCUCAGCUAUGUUUAGACUCUUGUUGUUCAUGUUUUGCUGUGUUCUAGUGUACUAUGGAAUAUAUUGCUUUCUUAUUCUUGACACUUCUCCCAGACAUAUUUAAGGUUAGAACUACCUUUCUAAGUGUUCUGAUAAUUCUAGCUUGGAGUUACAUUUUUAUGAUAACAUAGCUACAGUAUUUCACUUUAAAGUGUGUAUACUAUUGCUUACUAGGUGUGUCCAAUCAAUUUUAACCACUCCCUCUUCAAAUUAGGGUUAAUUGGAAAAGCUGUUAAAAAGAGAACAUUGUUUUAUUUCUUUGUACUCCCUGAUGAAGGCCAUGCAGCCGAAAUGCGUCGGAUUUUAAAGAACAUUGUUUCUAUUGAACAUGCCAUACUAAUAAAG